GUGGGGAAUCUUGCACAAUGGGGGAAACCCUGAUGCAGCGACGCCGCGUGAGCGAUGAAGCCCUUCGGGGUGUAAAGCUCUUUCGGCAGGGACGAAAUAUGACGGUACCUGCAGAAGCAGCUGCGGCUAACUACGUGCCAGCAGCCGCGGUAAUACGUAGGCAGCAAGCGUUGUUCGGAGUUACUGGGCGUAAAGGGUGCGUAGGCGGUCUUUUAAGUUCGGUGUGAAAUCUCCCGGCUCAACUGGGAGGGUGCGCCGGAAACUGAGGGACUCGAGUGCGGGAGGGGAGAGCGGAAUUCCUGGUGUAGCGGUGAAAUGCGUAGAUAUCAGGAGGAACACCGGUGGUGCAGACGGCUCUCUGGACCGUAACUGACGCUGAGGCACGAAAGCGUGGGUAGCAAACAGGAUUAGAAACCCGGGUAGUCC
rnacentral:rRNA from 1 species